CGGAGCGAAAGCGACGUUCAACCUCAAAAGAAGCAGAGGGGGCUUAGUGGUGGGGUGACUGCGUACCUUUUGUAUAAUGGGUCAGCGACUUAUAUUCUGUAGCAAGGUUAACCGAAUAGGGGAGCCGGAGGGAAACCGAGUCUUAAUUGGGCGUUAAGUUGCAGGGUAUAGACCCGAAACCCGGUGAUCUAGCCAUGGGCAGGUUGAAGGUUGGGUAACACUAACUGGAGGACCGAACCGACUAAUGUUGAAAAAUUAGCGGAUGACCUGUGGC
rnacentral:rRNA from 1 species